UCUCGUUCUUUGUAGCAACUCAUGGCAAGAGAAACAAGGACAGCGGCAUUGCCACUUGUAUCCCAUAUCUUGAUUUAUUUCUCUACAGCCUGGGGGAAUCUCUGGGUUUUAGUGAAUCCAAGGAAGACCAGAAUGACUGGAGCUGUUCUUCCUGCAAUCUUCCAGGGGACAGUUUAUUCCAGGGAACCUUCCGAAGGAGAGGGGAAUUUCCCUUGGUCACUACAAUACAAUGGAUUCUUAAAAAGAAAGGAACUCUGAUGUGUGGUUCAAUAUGGAUAAGCCUUGAAGACAUUAUGGUAAGUGAGAUGAGCCAGCACAAAAGGACAAACACCGAGUGAUUCCACCUGUAUGAGGUACUUAGGACCACAGUUACCACCACCCAUCCCCAGAAUUCUGUCGUGCUCCCCAACCAAACCCUCGUACUUAUUAAACCAUAACUCCUGUUCCUCUCUUCCUCCUGUCCUUGUUAUCCACCAUUCUACUUUCCAUCUCAAUGAAGUUGACUAUGCCAGAAGCCUCACACAAGUGGAAUAUUUGUCCUUUCGUGCCUGACUUGUUUCAUCUAGUACAAUGCUUUCAAAAUGUAUUAAGUUUUAGCACAUAUAUGAAUUUCAUUCCUUUUCUUUUUUGUAGUGCUGGGGAUCAAACCUGGAGACUUGCACAUGCUAAGCAGGCACUCUACCACUGAGCUACACCCCUAGCUCUGAAUUUCAUCCCUUAUUAAGGUUACACAAUAUCCCAUUGUAUGUGUAUACCACAAUGUGUUUAACCAUGCAUUUGUCGGUGGGCAUUGGGUUGUUUCAGAUAUAUUUUUUUAAAGACAAGGAUAUUCAGUAUUGUCUGAGAGUUUUACAGUAUGCAUCAUGAAGUCUUACUGAUGGAGUGGGGAGCUACUUUGUUUCAGUGCCAGGGAGCCAAUGGCUCCUCUUUUCUGCAUGGCUUUGGAGGUCUUCUGUGAUCCCACAAGAAUGCUGUAAGAAAAGGGGAUGAUGGGAGGCUCUUUCCAUGCUUUAGUCUUUGGCCAACCCUGGAUUUUUUAAGUGGUAUCUCUAAGUGGCCACUCGGCAUCCACACAGCUAGUGGGAAUACUGUCCUGAUGGAAAAGAUGCCAAUGUGAAUGGCUUACGUCAACAGCCGUCUACACCCAGAGACCCAUUCUGCAUAACCCAAAGAAGCCCC
rnacentral:lncRNA from 1 species